rnacentral:rRNA from 1 species
GGGGCAGCGCAGUGUAGCAAUACAUGGGGCGGCGACCGGCAAACGGGUGCGGAACACGNNNNNNACCUUCCUUUCAGCGGGGAAUAGCCCAGAGAAAUUUGGAUUAAUACCCCAUAGUAUAUUGGUCAGGCAUCUGACUGUUAUUAAAGAUUUAUCACUGAAAGAUGGGUGUGCGGCUGAUUAGAUAGUUGGCGGGGUAACGGCCCACCAAGUCUGCGAUCAGUAACUGGUGUGAGAGCACGACCAGUCACACGGGCACUGAGACACGGGCCCGACUCCUACGGGAGGCAGCAGUAAGGAAUAUUGGUCAAUGGACGCAAGUCUGAACCAGCCAUGCCGCGUGGAGGAUGAAGGCCCUCUGGGUUNUAAACUUCUUUUAUCUNNNACGAAAAAGGGCCUUUCU